UCCGGUUUAUCACCGGCAGUCUCCACAGAGUCCUCGGCUUUACCCGUUAGUAACUGUGAACAAGGGUUGCGCUCGUUGCGGGACUUAACCCAACAUCUCACGACACGAGCUGACGACAGCCAUGCACCACCUGUGCACCGGCCCCGAAAGGCUGCCGUAUUUCUACGGCAUUCCAGUGCAUGUCAAGCCUUGGUAAGGUUCUUCGCGUUGCUUCGAAUUAAUCCACAUGCUCCGCCGCUUGUGCGGGCCCCCGUCAAUUCCUUUGUGUUUUAGCCUUGCGGCCGUACUCCCCAGGCGGGGCGCUUAAUGCGUUAGCUACGGCACGGAUUCCGUGGAAGGAACCCACACCUAGCGCCCACCGUUUACGGCGUGGACUAC
rnacentral:misc_RNA from 1 species